rnacentral:tRNA from 1 species
AAUGUAGAGCCUGAAUAAAGGACUAUCGUGAUAGGAUAAAACAUGCAGACCAACUGCCUACAUUA